AUUGAACGCUGGCGGCAUGCCUUACACAUGCAAGUCGAACGGUAACAGGUCUUCGGAUGCUGACGAGUGGCGAACGGGUGAGUAAUACAUCGGAACGUGCCUAGUAGUGGGGGAUAACUACUCGAAAGAGUGGCUAAUACCGCAUGAGAUCUACGGAUGAAAGCAGGGGAUCGCAGGACCUUGUGCUACUAGAGCGGCCGAUGGCAGAUUAGGUAGUUGGUGGGAUAAAAGCUUACCAAGCCGACGAUCUGUAGCUGGUCUGAGAGGACGAUCAGCCACACUGGGACUGAGACACGGCCCAGACUCCUACGGGAGGCAGCUGUGGGGAAUUUUGGACAAUGGGCGCAAGCCUGAUCCAGCAAUGCCGCGUGCAGGAUGAAGGCCUUCGGGUUGUAAACUGCUUUUGUACGGAACGAAAAGCCCUGGGUUAAUACCCUGGGGUCAUGACGGUACCGUAAGAAUAAGCACCGGCUAACUACGUGCCAGCAGCCGCCGUAAGAC
rnacentral:rRNA from 1 species